rnacentral:rRNA from 1 species
ACGCUGGCGGCGUGCUUAACACAUGCAAGUCGAACGAACCUUCGGGUUAGUGGCGGACGGGUGAGUAACGCGUGGGAAUCUGCCCUCAGGAGGGGGAUAACGGUUGGAAACGACCGCUAAUACCCCAUAUGCCGAGAGGUGAAAUGAAUUUCGCCUGAGGAUGAGCCCGCGUCUGAUUAGCUUGUUGGUGAGGUAAUGGCUCACCAAGGCAUCGAUCAGUAGCUGGUCUGAGAGGAUGAUCAGCCACACUGGGACUGAGACACGGCCCAGACUCCUACGGGAGGCAGCAGUGGGGAAUUUUCCGCAAUGGGCGAAAGCCUGACGGAGCAACGCCGCGUGAGGGACGAAGGCCUCUGGGCUGUAAACCUCUUUUCUCAAGGAAGAAGAUAUGACGGUACUUGAGGAAUAAGCCACGGCUAAUUCCGUGCCAGCAGCCGCGGUAAUACGGGAGUGGCAAGCGUUAUCCGGAAUUAUUGGGCGUAAAGCGUCCGCAGGCGGCUUUUCAAGUCUGCUGUUAAAACGUGGAGCUUAACUCCAUCAUGGCAGUGGAAACUGAUUGGCUUGAGUAUGGUAGGGGCAGAGGGAAUUCCCGGUGUAGCGGUGAAAUGCGUAGAUAUCGGGAAGAACACCAGUGGCGAAGGCGCUCUGCUGGGCCAUUACUGACGCUCAUGGACGAAAGCCAGGGGAGCGAAAGGGAUUAGAUACCCCUGUAGUCCUGGCCGUAAACGAUGAACACUAGGUGUCGGGGGAAUCGACCCCUUCGGUGUCGUAGCUAACGCGUUAAGUGUUCCGCCUGGGGAGUACGCACGC